rnacentral:rRNA from 1 species
CUGGCUCAGGAUGAACGCUAGCUACAGGCUUAACACAUGCAAGUCGAGGGGCAGCAUUGGAGUAGCAAUACUUCAGAUGGCGACCGGCGCACGGGUGAGUAACACGUAUCCAACCUGCCGCUUACUCGGGGAUAGCCUUUCGAAAGAAAGAUUAAUACCCGAUGGUAUAAAGAGUUCGCAUGUUCUCUUUAUUAAAGAAUUUCGGUAAGCGAUGGGGAUGCGUUCCAUUAGAUAGUUGGCGGGGUAACGGCCCACCAAGUCUACGAUGGAUAGGGGUUCUGAGAGGAAGGUCCCCCACAUUGGAACUGAGACACGGUCCAAACUCCUACGGGAGGCAGCAGUGAGGAAUAUUGGUCAAUGGACGCGAGUCUGAACCAGCCAAAGUAGCGUGAAGGAUGACUGCCCUAUGGGUUGUAAACUUCUUUUAUAAGGGAAUAAAGUGAGGGACGUGUCCCUUUUUGUAUGUACCUUAUGAAUAAGGAUCGGCUAACUCCGUGCCAGCCGCCGC